rnacentral:rRNA from 1 species
GACUGCGGAGGGGUCAUUACCGAGUYKAGYAACUCCCAAACCCAAUGUGAACGUUACCAAACUGUUGCCUCGGCGGGAUCUCUGCCCCGGGUGCGUCGCAGCCCCGGACCAAGGCGCCCGCCGGAGGACCAACCUAAAACUCUUAUUGUAUACCCCCUCGCGGGUUUUUUUAUAAUCUGAGCCUUCUCGGCGCCUCUCGUAGGCGUUUCGAAAAUGAAUCAAAACUUUCAACAACGGAUCUCUUGGUUCUGGCAUCGAUGAAGAACGCAGCGAAAUGCGAUAAGUAAUGUGAAUUGCAGAAUUCAGUGAAUCAUCGAAUCUUUGAACGCACAUUGCGCCCGCCAGUAUUCUGGCGGGCAUGCCUGUCCGAGCGUCAUUUCAACCCUCGAACCCCUCCGGGGGGUCGGCGUUGGGGAUCGGCCCUCCCUUAGCGGGGUGGCCGUCUCCGAAAUACAGUGGCGGUCUCGCCGCAGCCUCUCCUGCGCUAGUAGUUUGCACACUCGCAUCGRGAGCGCGGCGCGUCCACAGCCGUUAAACACCCAACUUCUGAAAUGUUGACCUCGGAUCAGGUAGGAAURCCCGCUGAACUAAGCAUAUCAAAAGGGGAGGGGA